rnacentral:rRNA from 1 species
UUUAGAGUUUGAUCAUGGCUCAGAACGAACGCUGGCGGCAGGCUUAACACAUGCAAGUCGAGCGAAGCUUUCGGGCUUAGCGGCGGACGGGUGAGUAACGCGUGGGAACGUGCCCUUUGGUACGGAAUAGUCCUGGGAAACUGGGUUUAAUACCGUAUAUUCUCUACGGAGGAAAGAUUUAUCGCCAAAGGAUCGGCCCGCGUUGGAUUAGGUAGUUGGUGGGGCAAUGGCCUACCAAGCCGACGAUCCAUAGCUGGUUUGAGAGGAUGAUCAGCCACACUGGGACUGAGACACGGCCCAGACUCCUACGGGAGGCAGCAGUGGGGAAUCGUAGACAAUGGGGGCAACCCUGAUCUAGCCAUGCCGCGUGAUCGAUGAAGGCCUUAGGGGAAUAAAGAUCU